rnacentral:rRNA from 1 species
UGGUUGGACUAGAGUAUAAAUGACGUGACUGGAAUGUGAUGUGUAGCGGUGAAAAUGCUUAAGAUAUGUCACAGAACGCCAAUCGUGAAGACAGGUCACGAAAUUAUUACUGACGCUCAUGCACGAAAGCGUGGGGAUCAAACAGGAUUAGAUACCCUGGUAGUCCACGCUGUAAACGAUGAUUACUCGUUGUUGGGCAGUGAUGCUCAGUGGCUAAGCGAAAGCGAUAAGUAAUCCACCUGGGGAGUACGAUCGCAAGGUUGAAACUCAAAGGAAUUGACGGGGGCCCGCACAAGCGGAGGAGCAUGUGGUUUAAUUCGAUGAUACGCGAGGAACCUUACCCGGGCUUGAACGUAAGACGAAUAUAUAAGAGAUUAUAUAGCCUUCGGGCGUCUUGCGAGGUGCUGCAUGGUUGUCGUCAGCUCGUGCCGUGAGGUGUUAGGUUAAGUCCUGCAACGAGCGCAACCCUUACACUUAGUUGCCAGCACGUAAUGGUGGGGACUCUAAGUGAACUGCCUACGCAAGUAGAGAGGAAGGUGGGGAUGACGUCAAAUCAGCACGGCCCUUAUGUCCGGGGCUACACACGUGCUACAAUGGUAUGUACAGAGGGCAGCCACCUGGCGACAGGGAGCUAAUCCUCAAAGCAUAUCUCAGUUCGGAUUGGAGUCUGUAACUCGACUCUAUGAAGUUGGAUUCGCUAGUAAUCGCGCAUCAGCCAUGGCGCGGUGAAUACGUUCCCGGGCCUUGUACACACCGCCCGU